UACGAAGGGGGCUAGCGUUGCUCGGAAUCACUGGGCGUAAAGCGCACGUAGGCGGCUUCUUAAGUCAGGGGUGAAAUCCUGGAGCUCAACUCCAGAACUGCCUUUGAUACUGAGGAGCUUGAGUUCGGGAGGGGUGAGUGGAACUCCGAGUGUAGAGGUGAAAUUCGUAGAUAUUCGGAAGAACACCAGUGGCGAAGGCGGCUCACUGGCCCGAUACUGACGCUGAGGUGCGAAAGCGUGGGGAGCAAACAGG
rnacentral:rRNA from 1 species